UACGUAGGGGGCGAGCGUUGUCCGGAUUUACUGGGCGUAAAGAGCGCGCAGGCGGUCGUUCAAGUCGAGUGUGAAAGCCCCCCGGCUCAACUGGGGAGGGUCAUUCGAUACUGAUCGACUCGAAGGCAGGAGAGGGAAGCGGAAUUCCCGGUGUAGUGGUGAAAUGCGUAGAUAUCGGGAGGAACACCAGUGGCGAAGGCGGCUUCCUGGCCUGUUCUUGACGCUGAGGCGCGAAAGCUAGGGGAGCAAAACGGG
rnacentral:rRNA from 1 species